GCUAGAAGGGUGCCUAACUUCUGAGAAACUGUGUGUGUGUGCUAUUGGGAAACAGUGUUAUAAUUUAUUUAUAUGGUGAAGUACUAAGGUCAGAAAUUUGUUGGUUGUAAAAAAGAUGUCCGUUCAAGUAGAGCCGCUGACUUUAUCUAAGGAUAUAAAGAGAGCCAUUGAGUUACUAGAUAAAUUACAAUGUAGUGGAGAUUUUCCGACAACUAAGCUUUCUGCGUUACAGAAAGUCCUCCAAAGCGAUUUUUUGAACGCUGUCCGAGAAGUUUAUGAGCACGUAUACGAAACAGUUGACAUUCAGGGUUCUCAGGAUGUUAGAGCUUCGGCCACAGCUAAAGCCACUGUUGCAGCAUUUGCUGCAAGUGAAGGACACGCUCAUCCUAGAGUAGUUGAAUUACCGAAAACUGAAGAAGAAGUUCAAAAGAGAAAAAAUAAGGCGCCGUGAAAAGCCCAAAAAAAAAUGGACUGAUACAGAAGUUGGUCAAGUUUUAGACUACUUGCAGGAGCAUCCGUUGUUUCAAUUACCACUAAACAACAUGAAAAUUUAAAUAACAACAAGACGGUUGGGUUUCUUCAAAAAAUGAAAGAAUAUGCACGGAAAACAGCUAUUAUUGAGUAUAAAGAUGAAUUACAAGAAGUAAACGGAGAUAUAGUUCAAGCGAAACCGAACUUAAUAACGGAGCGAAUUUUCAUUUAAUUCAUUGCUGCGCUUUUACACAAAUGUAAAAAAAUAUCAACCCUUAUGUUAUA